rnacentral:rRNA from 1 species
GACGAACGCUGGCGGCGUGCCUAAUACAUGCAAGUUGAGCGCUGAAGGCUGGUACUUGUACCAACUGGAUGAGCAGCGAACGGGUGAGUAACGCGUGGGGAAUCUGCCUUUGAGCGGGGGACAACAUUUGGAAACGAAUGCUAAUACCGCAUAAAAACUUUAAACACAAGUUUUAAGUUUGAAAGAUGCAAUUGCAUCACUCAAAGAUGAUCCCGCGUUGUAUUAGCUAGUUGGUGAGGUAAAGGCUCACCAAGGCGAUGAUACAUAGCCGACCUGAGAGGGGGAUCGGCCAAAUUGGGACGGAGACACGGCCCAAACUCCUACGGGAGGCAGCAGUAGGGAAUCUUCGGCAAUGGACGAAAGUCUGACCGAGCAACGCCGCGUGAGUGAAGAAGGUUUUCGGAUCGUAAAACUCUGUUGGUAGAGAAGGACGUUGGUGAGAGUGGAAAGCUCAUCAAGUGACGGUAACUACCCAGAAAGGGACGGCUAACUACGUG